rnacentral:rRNA from 1 species
UACGGAGGGUGCAAACGUUGCUCGGAAUCAUUGGGCGUAAAGCGCACGUAGGCGGCCGAUUAAGUCGGGUGUGAAAGCCCUGGGCUCAACCCAGGAAGUGCACACGAAACUGAUCGGCUUGAAUAUGGAAGAGGGUUGCGGAAUUCCCGGUGUAGAGGUGAAAUUCGUAGAUAUCGGGGGGAACACCGGUGGCGAAGGCGGCAUCCUGGACCGGUAUUGACGCUGAGGCGCGAAAGCUAGGGGAGCAAACGGG